GUCGAAUUGUAAGUACAUAUAUCAUUUAAUUUCAUUAUAAAUUAUUAACAGAAUAUUAUUAUUUUAGUUAUACUUGUUGGUGGUGUUGGCGUGAAUGUGGUUCUACUUAAACAUGGACAGGUUUAUGAAAAGAACAGCAAGCGAACAGCCAAAGCCUGAUGAGGAUCAAAAGAAGAGGAGGCGUGAUGUUUCUAUAGCUUGGGAUCAUUUUAAAAGAAUUUAUUGUAUUAAUUAUAUUUUAGAUUACUACAGAUGGCGACGCGUUUAAAACGUUAGCUAAAAAAUACUUCUGCGUUCCCGCAUCGUCGUGCGAAUCUGAAAGAGUUUUCAGUAAAGCUGGACAACUUAUAAGUGAGCGUCGCACGCGGCUAUCAUCGACCGUUGUCGAUAAGCUCCUCUUCUUAAACAAAAACAAACAUGUAAAUUAUAUGUAAAUAUAUGUAUAUAGUAGAGUUCGGGAUAGUAAGUAAGGAUAGUAAAGUAGGGAUAGUAAGUAAGGAUAGUAAAAUAAGCAAUGGUAUAGUAGGGAUAGCACAAUAUCCUAAAGAACUAAUAUUUUCUUUGGACCAUGUAUAUAUUGAAACAUUGAUAUUAAAUUUGUUUUUGUUUUUAGUUUUUAUUUACAAACUAAGGAUAGUACAAUAUACCAAAGAAGUGGGACAUGAAUAUCAUAAACAAUUUUAUUUUAAUUUGUUUUUCGUUUUCUUUUUUAUUUGAUAAGUGAUUAAUAAAAUGUAUACUUUUUGUUGAAA